CCUACGGGAGGCAGCAGUGAGGAAUAUUGGUCAAUGGGCGCGAGCCUGAACCAGCCAAGUAGCGUGAAGGAUGACUGCCCUACGGGUUGUAAAUUUCUUUUAUAAAGGAAUAAAGUGAGGCACGUGUGCCUUUUUGUACGUACUUUAUGAAUAAGGAUCGGCUAACUCUGCGCCAGCAGCCGCGGUAAUACGGAGGAUCCGAGCGUUAUCCGGAUUUAUUGGGUUUAAAGGGAGCGUAGAUGGGUUGUUAAGUCAGUUGUGAAAGUUUGCGGCUCAACCGUAAAAUUGCAAUUGAUACUGGCAGCCUAGAGUACAGUUGAGGUAGGCGGAAUUCGUGGUGUAGCGGUGAAAUGCUUAGAUAUCACGAAGAACUCCGAUUGCGAAGGCAGCCUACUAGACUGCCACUGACAUUGAUGCUCGAAAGUGUGGGUAUCAAACAGGAUUAGAUACCCUUGUAGUC
rnacentral:rRNA from 1 species